CCCUUAGAUGUUCUGGGCCGCACGCGUGCUACACUGAGUGGAUCAGCGGGUCAGGUUGCGCGAAAGCGUUUCCUAAUCUUUAAAUCCGCUCGUGAUGGGGAUUGACGGUUGCAAUUUUCUGUCAUGAACGAGGAAUACCUUGUAAGCGCGGGUCAACAUCCCGCGCUGAAUACGUCCCUGCCCUUUGUACACACCGCCCGUCGCUCCUACCGAUUGAGUGGUCCGGUGAGGCUUUGGGAUCUGAGCGGAAAGAGCGUUUCGCUGUUUCUGCUCGGAAAACUCAGUCGAACCUUAUCAUUUAGAGGAAGGAGAAGUCGUAACA
rnacentral:rRNA from 1 species